UACGGGGGGGGCAAGCGUUGUUCGGAAUUACUGGGCGUAAAGGGCUCGUAGGCGGCCAACUAAGUCAGACGUGAAAUCCCUCGGCUUAACCGGGGAACUGCGUCUGAUACUGGAUGGCUUGAGAUUGGGAGAGGGAUGCGGAAUUCCAGGUGUAGCGGUGAAAUGCGCAGAUAUCAGGAGGAACACCAAUGGCGAAGGCAGCUCGCUGGGACGGUACUGACACUGAGACGCGAAAGCGUGGGGGAGCAAACAGG
rnacentral:rRNA from 1 species